GAUGAACGCUGGCGGCGUGCCUAAUACAUGCAAGUCGAGCGAACAGACGAGAAGCUUGCUUCUCUGACGUUAGCGGCGGACGGGUGAGUAACACGUGGAUAACCUACCUAUAAGACUGGGAUAACUUCGGGAAACCGGAGCUAAUACCGGAUAACAUUUUGAACCGCAUGGUUCAACAGUGAAAGACGGUCUUGCUGUCACUUAUAGAUGGAUCCGCGCUGCAUUAGCUAGUUGGUAAGGUAACGGCUUACCAAGGCAACGAUGCGUAGCCGACCUGAGAGGGUGAUCGGCCACACUGGAACCGAGACACGGUCCAGACUCCUACGGGAGGCAGCAGUAGGGAAUCUUCCGCAAAGGGCGAAAGCCUGACGGAGCAACGCCGCGUGAGUGAUGAAGGUCUUCGGAUCGUAAAACUCUGUUAUUAGGGAAGAACAAAUGUGUAAGUAACUAUGCACGUCUUGACGGUACCUAAUCAGAAAGCCACGGCUAACUACGUG
rnacentral:rRNA from 1 species